rnacentral:misc_RNA from 1 species
AAGGGGAGGAAGUUUGGCAUGAGGCUUGUGAGGGUUAAGAGGGAUUAGAUCAGGGGGUUCAGGAGGCAUUUACAUUGUCUGCAAAUGCAGUAGAAGGCAUUCAAGGGGUGGAUACAAUUAAAGUGUUGGGCUAUCGUGGAAAUAGACAAUUAGUGAUUUUAAUUGAUAGUUGAAGUACUAGCAGCUUUAUUGAUGCCAAAGUAGCAAGUGAAUAGAAGUUGCCUUAUGUGCCAGUUACAGCUGCUGCAAUUACAGUAGCUGAUGGGAGGAAAAUUAUGAGUUCUUUUAUUUGUAGUAAUUUUACAUGGAAGAUUCAGCGUUUCAAGUUUUCCUUUACUGUUAGAACUCUAGAAUUGGGUAGUUUUGACAUGAUCUUUGGAGUUGAUUGGAU